rnacentral:rRNA from 1 species
GCCUCAGUACGGCGAGUGAAGCGGCAAAAGCUCAAAUUUGAAAUCUAGCACUUUCAGUGUUCGAGUUGAAAUUUGAAGAAGGUAACUUUGGUUUUGGCUCUUGUCUAUGUUCCUUGGAACAGGACGUCACAGAGGGUGAGAAUCCCGUGCGAUGAGAUGCCCAAUUCCAUGUAAAGUGCUUUCGAAGAGUCGAGUUGUUUGGGAAUGCAGCUCUAAGUGGGUGGUAAAUUCCAUCUAAAGCUAAAUAUUGGCGAGAGACCGAUAGCGAACAAGUACAGUGAUGGAAAGAUGAAAAGAACUUUGAAAAGAGAGUGAAAAAGUACGUGAAAUUGUUGAAAGGGAAGGGCUUGAGAUCAGACUUGGUAUUUUGCGUUCCCUUCCUUUUUGGUUGGGUUCCUCGCAGUUUACUGGGCCAGCAUCGGUUUGGAUGGUAGGAUAAUGACAUUGGAAUGUAGCUUUACUUCGGUGAAGUGUUAUAGACUUUGUUGAUACUGCCUAUCUAGACCGAGGACUGCGUCUUUGACUAGGAUGCUGGCGUAAUGAUCUUAAGCCGCCCGUCUUGAAACCACGGACC